UUGGCUCCUAUAAAAUGCUUCCCUCCGAUCGAGUCCCCCAAUCCACGCCGGUCUUCCUCGCCCACCUCUCGGCUACGCCCACGCCCUCCAUCUCGGUCACCUCCCGGAGCUCCCGUCCCCGUGGCCGCGCCGUCCCCCGUCCUACCUCGCGGCGUCCCUCCAUCUCCCCUGUGCGCAACCAAACUGGUGCCGCACGCAGCUGUCGCACAUCCUUCCGGCCCGGCUGCUCCACCCCCCUCCAGCCAGCUACUCCAACCACGGCGCGGCGGCCGGAUCCAAUCUAUAUGGCGUGAUGGCGACCAAAUCCAUGACGGGAAAGAGACCCAGUGGUUCCCUCCGUCUCAAGCAGCCGUCGGCCACCUGCAGCAGCCCCAGGAUUGACGGCGUCUCCCAGGCUGCCGCACGGUCCUGCUCGGCGGCCUCGAGCUGCAGCUUUGGCACAUGGUACAGGACGUGUCGCUGCUAUUCCCAUGCGGAUCCACUGAGUUGACGAUGUUGAAUCAGCUGUGGCUUCCGGACCAAUCAUGGAGUUAUGGAGGAUGUCCCCUUCCAUAGUGUUACGCUACAAGGGAUUUCAUUUCUUGCUGAAAAAUUAUGUCAGUCCUUCCUGAUUUGCACGUGUUAAUGUAACUGCUGAACAUCAGUUCUCUCUCAUCAUUCAUUGUGCAGGUUUAAGGACAUACAUAUGACAAGGCAGUUCUCUAAUGAGUAACUAACUGAUCGCAUUUUCUUCUCAGUGCUAUUUUUUCCAGUUAGUAACAUACUGUCAGUGAUCAUUUGGUGUUGAUAUUUCAACCUCGCCCUUAAUUUAUCCCUUUGAUUCUCUCUUACAGUGUGUGAUUUUCAGUGAGUCCUACUAGGAUGGAAGACGCUGCAAUAAUGUGUGAGUAAUGGAUGUUGGUUGCCUUUCUGAGAAACGACAGAAGCUCUCAGGUAAAAAAUACACGCAAGAUGAUUAUUUUGAAGUACUGAUGCACCUUGCAAUACAUGUAUCUGUUUUGUAUUCAUCCACUACAGAUUAUAACUAUUUACUUGUUGUUCCCGUUUAUAUAUAGUAAUAUAGGAGUGUGUUUUCCCAGUCGGGUUUUCUGAAAACUGUAGCUUGUGGAACAUGAUAGGGUAUAUUUUUUCUGCAUUUGUGAAGGACCAAAAUGUCGAUUGACUAUAGGAAUUUAGAUUAUUUAUGUUUCUCUUCAAUACUACAUGUACUAUCUCUGCUGACUGACAUUUUCCUUUUGCCAUCAAUAGUAGCACUGAAAAUCAAUGAAAUUCAUCUGUUCACAUGUUCAGUUAGCUUGGCUUGAUUCCUGUUUGCAGAAUCUAACUUUCCCUUCCCGUCGAGGGUUUCCUCUGCUCUAUAAUUUUCUUCUAUUUCCUUGUCCAAAUUGUGUUUAAAUGAUAGGCGACAUUGCAAAUUAUGACCAGCUAGCUAUGGUUUACUACGGUAUGGCUUUGUUAUGGCUCAUUUUAUUGACCAGUGUAUGGUUGGUUGUUACCAUCUUAAACCCAUAUUUUGAGACCUUGGAGAAAAGGAGGGCAACAAAGAUUUAGUUUUGGGAUGUUGAUACCAUAUAGUGAGCAUGCUGCAUGUUAUCGUAAUGUGUAAUUGGAUGUUAAGCUAAUAACUUGAUAGAUGAAAUUUAGUCGAUCUUGCUGUAUAAAUUCUAGCAUGCUGCAGACUGAUAGCUGAAAUUUUAGUCUAUCUUGCACUAUAAAUUCUGGCAAAUGCAGUUGAUCUUGCCGUACAAUUUCUGGCAUAGUGCAGACCAGGCUGCAGGAGAAAAUGACUUGCCAUACUGACACCAUACAACACCAUGACGAUGGUCGAUGGACACCAUUAUGUAAAAAAACUCAACAGUGCUAUCUUGCAUUUGUACGAGCACCUGUGCAUUAGGUAAACAUCCUUUUUUAUUCUUACUUGCCUUGCUUGAUAUGAGCAACAGCAGAUCGUUGUCCCCAUGCCAAACCAUGUGCUGCUACAAGCCGUGGGCCUUUUAUGAGUGCCAACACAACAUCAUCUAAGAUGGAUCAAAAUGGAUGCUCCACGGCUACAAGGACAAUUGCAAUCCCGCACGUACAUCUCCGAUGACAAUCUUGUCCCAACAUAAGCAUCGACUGAAGAGAAGGUAGCUCAGGCCACACUAUCCUAACUUUGUGAUCAUCACCACAUAUACCACAACCAUGAGGCGCUCAACACAAUAACCCGCAGCUGCUCCACAGCUCGAGACUUGGCAAGGACAUGGUAACUCAAUAUGUCUCAGUAAAAAUCUCUUUCUCUCUCUCUCUCCCCCUCCGUACAGAGGUUGCUUCAUGUCUUUCACGGUGAGGUUUACUUGAGUGUGAUGACACAAGGUUAGGAGAAGUUUUAACUGUAAGUGUUCUCCUAAUUCCUUCAUUAUCUACAAGAAGGCUACUUAGUAUAACUAUAACUGCUCUUCAGGCAGUUAGUUCUGCGACUACUACUGUGUGUGCCACCUCAAUCCCAGAUUCCUAUUAGAACAAGGUGUCUUAUACAGAACAUCAACACUAUAACACCUUGAGGUAUUAUGACAUGUCGCAAUAAUUAGCAAGUUCUUUUUUGUGGUUAGGAUGUACCGCUAUAUAGCUUGGUCAUUUUAUUUAGCAUAGUUGAGAAACCAUAGAAGGGUAGAACGGACUGUUUGACAUAGGUAUGACUAUAGCAGAUCAAUAUAUGGGCAUUUUAGUAUUGUCCCAAUGAUAAAAGAGUUCACCAACCAACUGAAUAUACUGAGCGGUUGUGUGUGAUACCUGUUGUCGACAUGGUAACAUGAUAAUCAGAUGCAACCACAAUGGUAACACUAAACUUGAAUAUGACAAUCAUAACACUAAAUUUGAAUAUGCCAUUGAGGAGAAGCACUCCACUAUUGAUGGUAUGCUGUUAAUUUGUUAACUUCUUAGAUUUUCUGGACAAUGAUGUGAUGUGUUCCCUUUGGUUUUUGUUGGAUCCUAACAUACACAAGCAUGUCUGUAGCAAAUCUUUAUGAUAUCAAACUCUUAAGUUCAAUUUGUAAAUCUGCUAAUUAAAAUUUUAUUCAAUUAAGUAAAUGGAUUUCUUACAGAUCGUAUCAUGUUUGGUUUGUAGGUUGGAAACUUCAAGUCUUAAGUUUGUUAAUGAGAGCAAUGCAAAAUUCUAAAGGGUCUGAUGUGUAAGCGAAACAGGUGUAUGUCUAUCCGUCCGCUGGAAACCAUAUUUAGGUGUUGUAGAAGCUCUAAAUAAUUAGCUUUCUUGCUUUCAAGGUGCCAUUUUAUUUCAGGAUUCACCGACGUAAUCAAGUAAUGUGGAGCAGUUGCUCAUUCAAAUUUUAUAUUUUCUUAAUCAUUACCCAUCCCUAUUAGUGAUGUAUACUACCUCUGUAGAUAAAUGUAAGACUAACGUCCUACUUUUCUUUACAGAGGGAGUACUUUUUUUGGAGUAUUAAUUUCUGUCAUUCUGAUGUAUUGUCAUUCUUGCCUCUUUCUUUGGUUACUGUUUUUUUCUGAUAAUCACUGUUUGAAUUAGAUUUUUUAAGUUAUAUCACGGACCUUUUCUUAUGUCCAAUUAGUUCUGAUUUGGCAAAAACCAAAUUGCCAAGUGUUGACAAUUGGCAUGCUGCAAUGUUGUUUACAGUGAUCGUGGAACAUUAACUCGAGGUAUCCUGCGUGGUUUGGACUUUGUGAUGCUAAUUAUCCCUCAUACCAGUUCAUAUGCCUUUAAAGUUGAAACCAUAAAAAAUGUAGUGCACAUUGAUUUUCUUCGUGAUACUUCACAUCCCUUUGUUUUGGUGGUAGUACAUUGUAGCCUGCAGAAGUAAUAACCUAGCCAAAGUUAGGUGACGGUGUUAUCCAAUUUAUACAUCUUCACAAAUGCUGCUUAGCUAAAAUUUCCUUAUUGUUCAAGAAUAACAGGUGUUCCAGCAAUAUGACAACGAAUCCGAUUUGUACUAUCUGUGGGAGAGAUCCUGGUUAUUGAUACAAUGCAACUUUACUGUGAACAAAAAUGUUCCUUGAAAGUUGGUUGACACUUCCUGGAUAUUGAUACAAUGCAACUCUGGUGUAUGGAAAUUGCAUAUUAAUUAGGUCUUUUUACUAUACUGCCUAUAUACACCUAGUGACACUUCCUUGAAACUGAAGGAAAUAUUCUUUAUAUUGUAGCUCAUGUUGAUUUUUGUAUGUAACAAUACUUGGACUGUAUGGCCUUUCUUUGAUUUAUGUUUACGUUUCAAGGCCACAUA